UUUGGGCGUACAACAAAGGAGACGUGUCCUCAACGUGGAGCCCAGGGAAAUGAACCUCACUAACAGCAAGUUUUUACAAACUUGGAAAAGUGGAACAUAAAGCGUUGGGUGGAGUUUGGUAGGGCAUAUUUUAUUGCAGCCGAAGAAGUCAGACCCA
rnacentral:sRNA from 12 species